UACGGAGGGUGCGAGCGUUGUCCGGAAUCACUGGGCGUAAAGGGCGCGUAGGCGGCCUGAUAAGUAGGGGGGUGAAAAUCCUGCGGCUUAACCGCAGGGCUGCCUUCUAAACUGUCAGGCUAGAGCACAGUAGAGGCAGGUGGAAUUCCCGGUGUAGCGGUGGAAUGCGUAGAGAUCGGGAAGAACAUCAGUGGCGAAGGCGGCCUGCUGGGCUGUUGCUGGACGCUGAG
rnacentral:rRNA from 1 species